rnacentral:rRNA from 1 species
GUCCAGGUAGCUGCCUUCGCCAUGGAUGUUCCUCCUGAUCUCUACGCAUUUCACUGCUACACCAGGAAUUCCGCUACCCUCUACCACAUUCUAGUCAUCCAGUAUCCACUGCAGUUCCCAGGUUGAGCCCAGGGCUUUCACAACGGACUUAAAUAACCACCUACGCACGCUUUACGCCCAGUAAUUCCGAGUAACGCUUGCACCCUUCGUAUUACCGCGGCUGCUGGCACGAAGUUAGCCGGUGCUUAUUCUUUGGGUACCGUCAUCCCAACCGGGUAUUAACCAGCUGGAUUUCUUUCCCAACAAAAGGGCUUUACAACCCGAAGGCCUUCUUCACCCACGCGGUAUGGCUGGAUCAGGCUUGCGCCCAUUGUCCAAUAUUCCCCACUGCUGCCUCCCGUAGGAGUCUGGACCGUGUCUCAGUUCCAGUGUGGCUGAUCAUCCUCUCAGACCAGCUACGGAUCGUCGCCUUGGUGGGCCUUUACCCCGCCAACUAGCUAAUCCGACAUCGGCUCAUUCAAUCGCGCAAGGUCCGAAGAUCCCCUGCUUUCACCCGUAGGUCGUAUGCGGUAUUAGCGUAAGUUUCCCUACGUUAUCCCCCACGACAGAGUAGAUUCCGAUGUAUUCCUCACCCGUCCGCCACUCGCCACCCAAGGAGCAAGCUCCUCUGUGCUGCCGUUCGACUUGCAUGUGUUAGGCCUACCGCCAG